GACGAACGCUGGCGGCGUGCUUAACACAUGCAAGUCGAACGGAAAGGCCCUGCUGUUGUGUUGUUCUCGAGUGGCGAACGGGUGAGUAACACGUGAGUAACCUGCCCUUGACUUUGGGAUAACUUCAGGAAACUGGGGCUAAUACCGGAUAGGAGCUCCUGCUGCAUGGUGGGGGUGGGAAAGUUUCGGCGGUUGGGGAUGGACUCUCGGCUUAUCAGCUUGUUGGUGGGGUAGUGGCUUACCAAGGCUUUGACGGGUAGCCGGCCUGGGAGGGUGACCGGCGACAUUGGGACUGCGAUACGGACCAGACUCCUACGGGAGGCAGCAGUGGGGAAUAUUGCACAAUGGGCGGAAGCCUGAUGCAGCAGCGCCGCGUGCGGGAUGACGGCCUUCGGGUUGUAAGCCGCUUUCGCCUGUGACGAAGCGUGAGUGACGGUAAUGGGUAAAGAAGCACCGGCUAACUACGUG
rnacentral:rRNA from 1 species